rnacentral:rRNA from 1 species
AUACGUAGGGUGCGAGCGUUGUCCGGAAUUACUGGGCGUAAAGAGCUCGUAGGUGGUUUGUCGCGUCGUCUGUGGAAUUCCGGGGCUUAACUCCGGGCGUGCAGGCGAUACGGGCAUAACUUGAGUACUGUAGGGGAGACUGGAAUUCCUGGUGUAGCGGUGAAAUGCGCAGAUAUCAGGAGGAACACCGGUGGCGAAGGCGGGUCUCUGGGCAGUAACUGACGCUGAGGAGCGAAAGCAUGGGUAGCGAACAGGAUUAGAUACCCUGGUAGUCCAUGCCGUAAACGGUGGGCGCUAGGUGUAGGGGUCUUCCACGACUUCUGUGCCGUAGCUAACGCAUUAAGCGCCCCGCCUGGGGAGUACGGCCGCAAGGCUAAAACUCAAAUGAAUUGACGGGG